rnacentral:rRNA from 1 species
UACAGAGGGUGCGAGCGUUUGUCCGGAAUCACUGGGCGUAAAGGGCGCGUAGGUGGCGACCCAAGUCGAUGGUGAAAGCUCGUCGCUCAACGACGAGUCGGCCACCGAUACUGGGUUGCUCGAGCACUGUAGAGGCAGAUGGAAUUCCGGGUGUAGCGGUGGAAUGCGUAGAGAUCCGGAGGAACACCGACGGCGUAGGCAGCGCCCUGGACGACACCUGACGCUGAGGCACGAAAGCUGGGGGGAGCGAACAGG